rnacentral:lncRNA from 10 species
GAGCUCGCUUUUUCUGGGGACAGAGAGUGAGGCCUGGACACCCGGCGCCGGCCCAGGCCUGGCCGCGGGGAGCCGAAGGGCGACGAGUCCGGCGACGAGGCCGUGUCGCUGUCGGGGGCCCGGCAGAGGCGCAGGUCCGGGGCGGAGACGUGCAGCCGGGACUGCGCCGCGGGGAGUCCCCCGGCCGGGGCAGGUGGCGGCCCGUGGAACAGGGAUUCCCGCCGGCGCGUGUGCGGGCUCUCGGGCAGGAAGGCCCAGCCUUCGCGGCCCGCCAGGGCCGAGAGGGUCCAAAUCCCGUCUCAGAUGGGAGUGCUCGGCGGAGCGGGGCUGGGCGAGGAGCGCAGAGGAGUCAGAGGCUAGUCAAGUGAAGCAAUGGGAGUGGAGAUGGAACAAAGAAAUCUGCAAUUGGUUGUGAUCAAUUAGUUGUAAACACUACUGCACUUGGACCAACCUCUUCCUUUUCCUGACUGCUUAGGAAGGAUGGAAUGUAUUUCCUUCCUUCUGGGAGUGUUUGAAUGAAGAUUAGACUCUCCUUGACCAUGAAUGAAGAGCAACCAGUUUUUUAGUAUACAGUGAUUUAGACUCUGGGUCUAGAGUGUAGAUAUCAUGGGCACUGUGAAAGCACAGAAGGAGAAAAGGUUUUUAUGUGAGUAUAUGGGAGAGGAAAUAGUUUAUUGUCAUAAGCUUUUUGGCUAUGGCCUCCAUUACAUCUCUAGCUUUUGGAAGGCACUAAAUUGAGGCCAUUCAAAUCCAUGUCCACCUAUCCUUUGCCCGUCACGAGACUGAUGGCUUAGGAAGCAUGUGGUCUAGGUACUAGAGAGGGAGCCUGACCCACCUACCUCACCGCUGCUGCUGAAUUUGUGCACAACUCUCUGACCUGGUUCCAUGUCACAAAGGGUUUCAUUCUCUCUGAUUCCCUGAAUCCCCAGCUCUAGCCGCAGAUCCUGGAACCCUAGCAUAUGCCUGAAGCUGAAUAUUUUACUUGCCAGAGUAAGAGUUUUUACAUAGACUCUGUCAUCUUCUACUGGCCCUCCUCUUAAACUGAGGCAGCGGCUGCUAGCUACUCACCAAACCUAUUUUACUUUCUUUUUCUUUUUUUUUUUUUUUUUUUGAGACAGAGUCUUGCUCUGUCGCCCAGACUGGAGUGCAGUGGUAUGAUCUCGGCUCACUGCAACCUCCGCCUCUCAGGUUCAAGCGAUUCUCCCACCGUAGCCUCCUGAGUCGAUGGGAUUACAGGUGUGUGCCACCACACCCAGCUAAUUUUUGUAUUUUUUGGUAGAGAUGGAGGUUUCACUAUGUUGGCCAGGCUAGUCUCUAACUCCUGACCUCAAAUGAUCCACCCACCUCAGCCUCCCAAAGUGCUGGGAUUACAGGCAUAAGCCACCGUGCCUGGCCCCCCAUUUUACUUUCUUCUUUAACAUAUAGUUAGAAUGAAAACAUGUUGAAGGGAUGAUGGCAUUAGAAAAUUACCACUGGCCACUAUCACAGUAAUAAUUGCUUUAGGCAAGAAUGAUCGAUAAAAGCUAAAAUUAAUGGGCAAAAGUAUGAUGAGAAACAGGAUAUUUAUACAAUCGCAAAGUGCCUCCCAAUAAGAUACUUAUUAAAAAGGUAAAAAUGGUAAUUUUCAGUGGAGAAAUAUGGCAGACACCAUAGUAACCAACUGAUCAAAGGGAACAUUGGCAUUAAUGGGACAAAUCAGCAUCACGUUUCUCUUGUCAUGAAGCACUGAGAAGGCCACAGCAUUGCUUCUGAAAUAUUGCAACAAAAAUGAAUAACUUGAAUCUAAUGAUGAGGAAACAUUGGAGAAAUCCAAACCUUGGAACACGCUACAAAACAACUAACUCGUACUCUGAGAAACAUAUCAGUGGACUGGAUUCCAAACAGUGGCUCAUGCCUGUAAUUUUAACACUUUGGGAGGCCAAGUUUGGUGGGGCUUUGUGUCUGAAUUCUGGCCAAUGGAACCACGUGGAGGCCUGGCCCAGAACAUCUCCCUGUGGAUUCUCUCAUCUGGCAACUGGAUGCCUACACGAAGGGUGAUUUUGGAGUCAUGUGUUGGAGAUCACAAAGCUUUUGUCAGCCAGGUUCCUGAAUGACUGCUAGACACCAUGGGCUGAACUUUAUGAGCUCCAGCACCACCUCCAGCCUUCAGUGACUGUCUGGAGCAGGCAUCCGGAUGGAAGAGAAGGGGGACAACCAUGAACUUGGUGACCCACGGUCAGCCUGAUUUCCCUUGUGGACACAUUUAUGCCCAGUGUGCAUUCCUCCUGAGGUCUGUUCCAAGUCUGGAGGCAGCAGAGUAGAGUGGAGAGAACAGUGGACUUGGAAUCUCACCUCCCAGAUUAGAGUCCUGGAUCUGACUUUGAUUGCUGGUGCUGCCUCGGGCAAGUUACUUUAGCUGUGUGCAUCUCCAUUUCCCCAUGGAUAGAACAUGGGUUUUGGGUAGAAGUGUCUGAUAGCUGUACUGUGCUUUACGGUUCAUGAGCACGCACACAUAGGCCCAUAAUAUCAUAUCUCUGGUCACCCUGGCAGGUAGAUAUUAUUGCCCCAGGUUUCAGGUAAGAAGACUAAAGACCAGGGGUCAAUUGCUUGCUCAGAGUCCCACAGCCAGCAGCAGCCAGGCAGGACACCAAGUCAGAGUCUAGAUUCCGGAUCUUGCCCUCUUCCAAGUGUACCACAUUCUUCUCAAAGUGGCCUCUCAGGUCUUUUGUCCAGAAAAUUUUGAGACUUUGAUGAGAAGCCCAUAUCUGCACACUGGGGAUUAGGCCAGAUAACCCUGUGUGUCCUUCCAGGCCUGGUAUUGUGAGGCUGAAGCCUAGUGCCCCACACUCCCUUCCUCACCCCUUAGAGAAAGAUAGAGACUCCAGGGCCAGCCUGGUGGGUGCUGAACCUGCCCUGCUGAGCCAAGCCCAGGAGGCAGCCAAGGUCCUACCAGUGACCUUACCCUGGGGGCCCCUCCAGGUAGGAGCCUGGUUGGAAAAGACAGACCGACUUCUUCUGGGUUGGCUGGAAAAAGAUGACAUACUCAAAGCCUUGUCCUUCCACUUGGAUGCACCUGGUGAAGAUGCGACAGUCACCUUUGUCUGGGGAGAGAUAGGCAGUGUUGCAGCCGGAGAAGGGAGGGUAUGGUCAGGAUGCAGCACCAUUUGGUUGAGUCUUGCCUCUGGUACAAGAUUAAGGAGAGAAAACCAGAGGACACCAGGUCCACCCCCAGGGAGCCUUCCCUCUGGGAGCAGAGGCACAGUUGCUGUCCUCACAGAGCCUUUCUGUCUAGGGCAGAAACAUGCAGGAAGUGCCCUGGCUGAGAAUGGAGAUAGGAUCAGGGCCAGGGCAAGACUUUAAGAGACCAUAAGCAUUGAAAAUUGAAAAUGUAAUUACUCAUGUAACUCACAUAUAAUUCAAAAGAAUAAUAGUAAACAGUAAAAUAAGAGCAGAAAAGUCCAUCAAAGUUCUGAUUUUUUUUUUCCAAGACAGCUACCACUACUACAUCCUUUUUUGGAAGUAUCAAAUUCUUUGAAAAAAAAUUAUGUUGGUAUUCCUGCUUUGUUUGUGCCAUAAACCCAAGGGUAGUCUGUCCCCUGUACCACUCCUUCAUCACUAGGCAGGAAGACAACAUAUAUGAGUGAGAGAGACAGGGAGAUACACAUGCGUGCACACACGAGUGCACACACACACACAAGAAGGUGGAAGCUCUAUCAUUAGGAUCCAUUAGGAUCAUUAGGUGUUUCAGGAGUGCUGCUCCAGACCCCGCACAGCAGGGAUGAUGUGCAGGGCCUCAGUGGAAGGGGUGUGGGGUCCAAGGGCUUUCAUGGGGUUGGGGCGGAAGGCUUGGGAUGAGGCUUGAUAGUUAGGGAGGGGCAGUCAGUGAGAAGUCGGGGCAGGAGCUGGGCUGGCUGUCCUCCAGUGGGGACAUGCUUGGCUGGGAGCGAAGGUGGGCCCACCAGGGUGUGCUGCUUCAGAUGGGAGGAGGGGAGCUGGAGACCUGAGAGGACACCCGCCGCCUGUUGCCUGGGGCUGCAGCAUCAGGGGUGGAGUUGGACAGCAGGAAGAACUCGCUGAGAACUGGAAGGCGGUCUGUGAAGUUGCUUCUCAGUCUUAGAACACAGGGAAGGGCGGCUGGGGUGUGUGUACUCAUGGUCCUGUCCUUACCUGAGGAAACUGCCAGUCCAGAUGGGAGCUUGAGUCCCCGGAUGUGGUCUCUGUUGGACUUGAAGGAGGGCAGCUUGAUCCAGCCGCUAGACUUAGUCUUCUCCAGAAAUUCUUGGUACAGGCUCAGCAUGUCCGAACACCAGCUGGCAUUGGGAAGAGCAUAAUCCUUCAAGUCUGUCUUCUCUGGCAAGAAUCUUGAGAACUGGGCAGGAAAAAUCAGAAUGACUAGACAGCAUCCUGGAGGGGGGCUGCUGCCUGGGCUCGGGACCUCUAAACAGCUGUUCCUGGGUGCUGGGGCUUCUCAAUCCCUUCUGCCAGAGUAUCGAUCCAAGGGAAAGGGCCCAUAUUCCUUGCAGGGGGGCUGCGGACCCCUAUGGGUGACGGGGCAUAAGGAUGCUAAAGAGCAAGGGAAGGGCGGGCAGGGAGUGGGGCCAGAGAUGAUGGGCAUGCUGCUCGAUGUGGUGCCUUACCCUUGUUCUGCUUAAAACAUGUGAGCAGUUCUUUAAAGUUGACAACUGCUCAUAUUAGCCUCACUGUACAGAUGGGGAAACUGAGGGAAUACGGCCAAGGUUGCCAAGCAUGUGACUGUGAGAGCUGGUGGUCGCACUAGAUGCUGUCUCCUCUGCAGGGCAGGGUCACAGUUGUUGAGGACCAUUCUAGCAACCCCCACCUCAGGGGCUACUCCAGCUCUGCCCACUGCUGUGGGCCUGCCUGGGCAGGGUGGCUCCUUUGAAACACAUUUGGGCCCCCACAGAGGUGUGGUGCCAUGGCUGGGGCACAGACUAUGUGCCCAUCUGUGUGACGUAAGGAAGUCCUCUGUAGCGUCACCUGCUCAUACACCAGUCACAACUGUAGACAGCAUGUGAGCUGCUUGCCAAUGCCACAGAUGGGGUCCUCUGUCUGGGGAUACCCCAGCUUUGCUGCAGUAGUCUGAGUCCCACAGGAGGAAAGUCAUUUGUUGGUGGCCACACAAGACACAGAGCCAGAUGCAGGUCUCCUGGUAGUUUUAGUUUUGAAUGGGGGCAACUUGGUAUCCCAGAGCACUUUCUCUUUGCCAAAUCAAAUAGCUCCUCCGAACACUGCCCACCUGCCCUGGCCAUGGGCUGGGAAGAGGAGAUUUGGGGUGCUCCUUAAGCCCUAGGCUCCUGGGAAAACACUGCCCAUCUGGCUGAGCUGGGAACUCACCAUGGAGUCUGUGGAGGAUCCAAAUGCUGAGGCAGGGUUGAGUCUGGGCAGGAUACGGGGG